ACUGAUGAUUUAAAAGAAGAAGGCUAUAUCGCUCAUAUUUUAGGUGUAAAUGCUGAAGAAGGCGAUGAAAUUACUGAGUAUUUAAAUGAAGUCAUUCAUUAAAGAUAAAAACCCCUAAC
rnacentral:snRNA from 2 species